AACUAAUUAUAUUUAGUGGAAGAGAAUGAAAAAACAGACUACUCCUUUUAAUUUGCAGUUAACUGUUUAUUGGUCAAGGGUUAAAGGUCAAGUUGUUUUUUCUGUGUGGGGAUUGGUCGGGAGUGAGGAAGAGACCGUUAGGGGGCGGGAGGAAGAAACGUGAGAUGUACGUUGGGAGAGCAGAGCCAAAGGGUGAAGGGAGAGGAGCUCUGGAAGCUGAACCAGGUUUUAAGAAUCCGAGUUUCUAUUGACUGGAUUUACUCAGUACAUCUUAUGUUUUGCCUUGUUAACUGUGUGUAGUUAACGACUGCAGAGGCACAGAUGUUGUUUUCUGUCCGAAUGAGAAAAAACGGGAGAUUGUGUGUGAGCGGGUUCAAGCUAACCGCUAAAGCUAACGGCUAAGCUACUGCAGGCGAGCGUUGUCUGGGCUUGAGUGGACUUUGAACUGGACAGACGGAGGUGCUUCUGGAUGAGGAGUUACCGGGAUGAGGAGUUAUCUGCCUCUCCUCUGACCGUUUCUUUUCCUGAGACAUUGGAUUAUUCGUCGGCUGGCUGCUGACUUUUCAGACACAGAGCUGUGAACGCCAUGACGUGGAUUCUGCUAACUGCUAACUGUGAGUUUGCUGACCGGAGAUCAACGCCGCUGUGGGGAUUUCGUGGGCUGCUUCCUGUGAUCAUCGUGGGUUUUCUACUCUGCACCUGGACUACGGCGAACAGCUGGAGAUCGACACACAGAGAGGAGUCUAGCAGCACAUUGCUGGGCUUCAGGUCCAGGUGAAGCAGAGCAGGAGUGAGACUGUGGAGGAAGUUGAUGCCCAGAGCCACCUGGUGAACCAGCCUGAAGGCCAGCGGCCAGGGAGGGGGUCUGUUCAAGGUUUUCUGUUGGGUUGGAGGAAGUAAACUGAACUGAAUGAUUCAUCAAGUCACUGGGGUUCAGCCUCUGGGAAACAUGAAUCCAUCUAAAGGUUGCUGGAGGUUUUUACCUGCAGGGAGGCCAGUGAUCCACUAUCCAUGAACUCCAUGACCAGCCCCAGCUGUGUCCACGAUUCAUUGAAGGGCGGUCGGCCUUCAAAGAUCCCGAGGACCUGGAUAACGUACGGGUUUUUUCCCAGACACAUCAUCUCGACCUCACGCAGCAAAGACGAGCUGUUCCUGUGAGCAUUGGUUCAGUCAGUGACUUAUUUCAGUAUCAGCUAACAGAAGCUACAUGCUGAAACUUACCCGUCGUCGUAGCGAAGCA